rnacentral:rRNA from 1 species
GUACACGCUGUGACUAGCAUAUCAAUAAGCGGAGGAAAAGAAACUAACAAGGAUUCCCCUAGUAACGGCGAGUGAAGCGGGAAGAGCUCAAAUUUGAAAUCUUAAAGGGUUUCCCUUUACGAAUUGUAGUUUAAAGAAGUGUUUUCUGUUGAGGUUUUGGUAAAAGUUCUUUGGAAUAGGACAUCAUAGAGGGUGAGAAUCCCGUAUUUGACCUUUACUUUCAACUUUGUGAUACACUUUCAAAGAGUCGGAUCGUUUGGGAAUGCAGUCCAAAAUGGGUGGUAAAUUUCAUCUAAAGCUAAAUAUUGGCGAGAGACCGAUAGCGAACAAGUACCGUGAGGGAAAGAUGAAAAGAACUUUGAAAAGAGAGUUAAACAGUACGUGAAAUUGUCAAAAGGGAAGCGUUUGACACCAGUGUUGUCUUUUCUGAAAAUCAAUUAAAGAACUGUUUAUGCUAAGCUGUUUAGACUUUAUCAGCUAUCUGUUUAGUUUUGAGCUUUUCUUUAAUGCACUUUUCAGUUAACAAGUCAACAUCAAUUUCUUUUGCUGUAAAAAAGCUUGAGGAAGGUGGCUUGAGAUUCGUCUUAAGUGUUUAUAGCCUCUUGCCUAUGCAGUCGGAGAGAUUGAGGUCUGCAGCGUAGAUCCUUCGGGGCUAAAUGCAUUUGUGCUAAGUUAUAGCAUUUUAUAGACAACUUGUUGACUAUGAUUUGUCUUGUAGCUUACUCGCUUAUGUUAUUUUACCUACGCUUAGGAUGUUGAAGAUGUAGCACAUCAU